UUUCACCUUAACCUUGUCUUUCAUGUCUCACGUGCAGUAAAUCAUGUUGUUACAAACGGCGUCUUGGGGGCAACCUUGAUUUCUGCAGCCCCGAGCUUUGUGGCACGAGAGCUCUCCGCCAUGCUUCUCCCUGUGAUGUGUGAGCGUAUGGAAGGCCUCGCAGAAGCCUGGUCAUAACCAUGGAACCACAGAAGCGUUACCCAGACAGAAGGAGCCUUUGUCACCUGGACUUCCUACCAAGGACACAGGCAGUGGAAGUCAGCAUCCCAAGCAUCCAUGAAACCCCUGCACAGGACUGGAAGAAAAGCUUGAUGUCUGUGCCAAGGGAGAUGUACACCGCACUUGCGCUGCCUGGAUGAUGUGG